rnacentral:tRNA from 1 species
GAGGUUGUGGCUCAGUGGUAGAGCACUUGCUUAGCAUGUGUGAGGCACUGGGUUCAAUUCUCAGCACCACA